AAACCAACCGGGAUUGCCUUAGUAACGGCGAGUGAAGCGGCAAAAGCUCAAAUUUGAAAUCUGGUACCUUCGGUGCCCGAGUUGUAAUUUGGAGAGGGCAACUUUGGGGCCGUUCCUUGUCUAUGUUCCUUGGAACAGGACGUCAUAGAGGGUGAGAAUCCCGUGUGGCGAGGAGUGCGGUUCUUUGUAAAGUGCCUUCGAAGAGUCGAGUUGUUUGGGAAUGCAGCUCUAAGUGGGUGGUAAAUUCCAUCUAAAGCUAAAUAUUGGCGAGAGACCGAUAGCGAACAAGUACAGUGAUGGAAAGAUGAAAAGAACUUUGAAAAGAGAGUGAAAAAGUACGUGAAAUUGUUGAAAGGGAAGGGCAUUUGAUCAGACAUGGUGUUUUGUGCCCUCUGCUCCUUGUGGGUAGGGGAAUCUCGCAUUUCACUGGGCCAGCAUCAGUUUUGGUGGCAGGAUAAAUCCAUAGGAAUGUAGCUUGCCUCGGUAAGUAUUAUAGCCUGUGGGAAUACUGCCAGCUGGGACUGAGGACUGCGACGUAAGUCAA
rnacentral:rRNA from 1 species